GAUGAACGCUGGCGGCGUGCCUAAUACAUGCAAGUCGAGUGAACAGACGAGGAGCUUGCUCCUCUGACGUUAGCGGCGGACGGGUGAGUAACACGUGUAUAACCUACCUAUAAGACUGGGAUAACUUCGGGAAACCGGAGCUAAUACCGGAUAAUAUAUUGAACCGCAUGGUUCAAUAGUGAAAGACGGUUUUGCUGUCACUUAUAGAUGGAUCCGCGCCGCAUUAGCUAGUUGUUAAGGUAACGGCUUACCAAGGCAACGAUGCGUAGCCGACCUGAUAGGGUGAUCGGCCACACUGGAACUGAGACACGGUCCAGACUCCUACGGGAGGCAGCAGUAGGGAAUCGUCCGCAAUGGGCGAAAGCCUGACGGAGCAACGCCGCGUGAGUGAUGAAGGUCUUCGGAGCGUAAAACUCUGUUAUUAGGGAAGAACAAAUGUGUAAGUAACUAUGCACGUCUUGACGGUACCUAAUCAGAAAGCCACGGCUAACUACGUG
rnacentral:rRNA from 1 species